AGGAGAAAAAAAAAGUGUGUUAAGAACGACAAAGCCUGGUCAUAAGGAUUCUAAAAAGGUCAAAAGGUUAAACAAAAUAAGGCAAAAAGUCAAAGGAGUUAGCAAAACAAACUUGUCAAUUUAAUUUAAUAAUUCUGGUCUAGUUUGGAUAAAAAUACAAAAAUAAGAAACCAUAAGUUUAAGUAAAUACAGUCCAAUGGUUUCCAAAAUGAGGGACGGGUCCCCCUCGAGGUGUAAGGGCUAUCGUAGUGCGCGGAGCGUAACAAGGCAAAUUAAUUUUAAUAAUAUAGUUUCUUUAUUUGUGGCACAAUUUCUUUUCUUUUUUUUACUGAGAACUGCAGUCUAGUAGGAAUGAUAGUGUUUUGAAUAAAAUUCUAUGGAGGGAUGGUCAAUAGCCCCCACUAUCUGCAAAAGGGGCAUACUGCAGAAAGUAGUUCUGGAAGCACUGAUAUGGUCUCUGAAAUUAACCAAAGGCCGGUGUCCAAGAAAAAAAAAGAUGUAAAUGAAACCAUUGAUCCAGAAGCGCCAAUGUUCCGCAGAUAUUUGAGCCCAAGCAGAAAGUUCUUGGAAGAAAACACACAGAAAGGUCACUUUGAGUAUUGUGUGACGGCUGACCUCUCUGAGGACAAAUGUUAACGUUCACUUUCACUUUUCACUUCAGAUGUGAACGUUGACAGUAAUGACAGUAAAAAGCUUGGUCACUUCAUCAGCCGUCAAUCACAGGAUCUUUGACCAGGUGAAACAAAUGAGACAUUUGAAAACUGAAGGCAAAAGGUUCAAAAUGACCUUAAACAGCAGAAAAGACUGCGGAGGAUCAGCCUGACACUGAGCUGGCCCACACUGAAAGGAAAACUCCUACGAGUGACAACAUAUAAUAUGAUCAUGAAAUUGGUUAUUGGAAAUACAUUUUUUAACGGGAAACUUAAAUUGACCAUCAAAGAUUGUGUGUGUGUGUGUGCAUGUGUGUGUAUAUGCCCAGUAAUCCCCAAUGGAGACAAAAGCCAGAGUCACAGGAAGGGACUUUUUAGUUACUUCCAUCAGGACUACAGUUACAGAACACAGCUUCAGAUCUUGAUGCCAUGACAAAAACUUUUAACAUUUGUUUGUGUGAUGAUUAUAGUUUGUUUAAGUUGACCUACCUGUCUUGAUACAUUUGAGAUCCACAAACAAAGGCAGUAUUUUAAUUAAGGUCAUUUACUGCUACUAUGGAAAGUGACACACACCAUUUAGCACUAAUUGCUGUGUGUACUACUACAGUAUACCGUAUACCAUGUGUAAACACAAGAAAGAAGAAACACAACAAGAAAGGCUUUGUAAUGUUUUUAAUAAACAUUAUAAGUUAAUGUAUAUUAGUGGUUGAAUAAAUACUUCAGUAUUUUGUUACUAAGUAUUACUGUUAAAAGUAUUGUCAAAUUCAUUGUUACUCCAAUCCUGUUGAAUGUGCUGGAGGCUGAGAAAAGGAGUGAAGGAGCUAUGCUAACUAGCUAAGGGUAGCUAACAAGCUAAGGCUCGUUUAGUUCAUGUCCUUUAGGUAAUACUGCAGUAUUAGGUAGUAGUAGUAGUAGUAGUAAUGUCUAGUUCCCUGGGUUGCCUUAUGAUUUUAGUCUUUUCAGUGUCAGUAGUUCUCUGUUUAUUUUUCUGUCUCACCCUCUGUUUCUUCUCCAGGUGCUCCACAGUCCUCACCCUUCCCUGUGUGUCCAUGAUUACCUGACCUCACCUUCUGUGUCUCCCUCCACGGUGAUCGUCUAACCCUCCCCACCUGAGUCUGGUUAACUCCUGUCUGUUCAUAUCACCCCUCUCUUACCCUCUUUAACUGCUCAUUUGAAGGUGACGUUUUGUCUGAUCCAGUCUUUUCUCCAGUUUAUUCCCAGUGACUUCUGUUCAUGUGGACUUCAAAUGUCUAAGCCUGUCCUCCCUUCGUGUCUCUCAGUCUGUCUUGUCAGGCAGCUCUAACAUGAAUGAAGUAAUAAUAAGAGUUAGCAUCCACGAUGCCGUUAGCCAGAAGAAGAGGAUGAAGACCAGGAGCGCGCGUGUGGGGUGUGUGUUCAUCAGAACCUUGAGAACAAAGCGGAAGGUGAAGUUGACGUUGUUGAGCGACCC